rnacentral:rRNA from 1 species
GACGAACGCUGGCGGCGUGCCUAACACAUGCAAGUAGGACGCAGUUGCGAACGGGUGAGUAACGCGUAGGUAACUACCUAUUAGAGGGGGAUAACUAUUGGAUACGAUCGCUAAUACCGCAUACUAGUAGAUGGACCUGAGUUGUAUUAGCUAGUAGGUAGGGUAAUGGCCUACCUAGGCAACGAUACAUAGCCGACCUGAGAGGGUGAGCGUCCACACUGGGACUGAGACACGGCCCAGACUCCUACGGGAGGCAGCAGUGGGGAAUCUUCGGCAAUGGGGGAACCCUGACCGAUCAACGCCGCGUGAGUGGAGGAGGUUUUCGGGUCGGAAAGCUCUGUUGUUAAGGAAGCGGUACUUAACCAGAAAGGGACGGCUAACUACGUGCCAGCAGCCGCGGUAAUAC